ACUUCUAGAUGUUCCAGCUUGCGGGGGAGUGUUGAAUAUUAGGGAACUCCUAGUAGGAGUGGGCUUAGUUUCCUAUUUCUAUUAAUCUUGAUUUAGUCCCCAUGUUCCUAUAAAUAUAGGCUCCUUAUAUAGAUAGAAGUAUAGAGUACACAGAGAGACAAUCUAUUGUAAUCGUUCAUUAUAAUACGGAGUAUAUUCUUUCUAUUUUCUUUUUUCUUUGGUUUCUCACAUAUUUUGCUUCCGCCUAACUAGCGGGUGGUUGUUAUUCUCCACCCGCCGGGCCUUUCAAUCCCUCAACUUCAACACAUGCCCUAUGGGA